UUAAGUUAUUAAGGGCGCACGGUGGAUGCCUUGGCACUAGAAGCCGAUGAAGGACGUUACUAACGACGAUAUGCUUUGGGGAGCUGUAAGUAAGCUUUGAUCCAGAGAUUUCCGAAUGGGGAAACCCAGCAUGAGUUAUGUCAUGUUAUCGAUAUGUGAAUACAUAGCAUAUCAGAAGGCACACCCGGAGAACUGAAACAUCUUAGUACCCGGAGGAAGAGAAAGAAAAUUCGAUUCCCUUAGUAGCGGCGAGCGAAACGGGAAGAGCCCAAACCAAAAAGCUUGCUUGUUGGGGUUGUAGGACACUCUAUACGGAGUUACAAAGGACGACAUUAGACGAAUCAUCUGGAAAGAUGAAUCAAAGAAGGUAAUAAUCCUGUAGUCGAAAAUGUUGUCUCUCUUGAGUGGAUCCUGAGUACGACGGAGCACGUGAAAUUCCGUCGGAAUCUGGGAGGACCAUCUCCUAAGGCUAAAUACUCUCUAGUGACCGAUAGUGAACCAGUACCGUGAGGGAAAGGUGAAAAGCACCCCGGAAGGAGAGUGAAAUAGAACCUGAAACCGUGUGCUUACAAGUAGUCAGAGCCCGUUAAUGGGUGAUGGCGUGCCUUUUGUAGAAUGAACCGGCGAGUUACGAUUUGAUGCAAGGUUAAGCAGUAAAUGUGGAGCCGUAGCGAAAGCGAGUCUGAAUAGGGCGUUUAGUAUUUGGUCGUAGACCCGAAACCAGGUGAUCUACCCUUGGUCAGGUUGAAGUUCAGGUAACACUGAAUGGAGGACCGAACCGACUUACGUUGAAAAGUGAGCGGAUGAACUGAGGGUAGCGGAGAAAUUCCAAUCGAACCUGGAGAUAGCUGGUUCUCUCCGAAAUAGCUUUAGGGCUAGCCUCAAGUGAUGAUUAUUGGAGGUAGAGCACUGUUUGGACGAGGGGCCCCUCUCGGGUUACCGAAUUCAGACAAACUCCGAAUGCCAAUUAAUUUAACUUGGGAGUCAGAACAUGGGUGAUAAGGUCCGUGUUCGAAAGGGAAACAGCCCAGACCACCAGCUAAGGUCCCAAAAUAUAUGUUAAGUGGAAAAGGAUGUGGCGUUGCCCAGACAACUAGGAUGUUGGCUUAGAAGCAGCCAUCAUUUAAAGAGUGCGUAAUAGCUCACUAGUCGAGUGACACUGCGCCGAAAAUGUACCGGGGCUAAACAUAUUACCGAAGCUGUGGAUUGUCCUUUGGACAAUGGUAGGAGAGCGUUCUAAGGGCGUUGAAGCAUGAUCGUAAGGACAUGUGGAGCGCUUAGAAGUGAGAAUGCCGGUGUGAGUAGCGAAAGACGGGUGAGAAUCCCGUCCACCGAUUGACUAAGGUUUCCAGAGGAAGGCUCGUCCGCUCUGGGUUAGUCGGGUCCUAAGCUGAGGCCGACAGGCGUAGGCGAUGGAUAACAGGUUGAUAUUCCUGUACCACCUAUAAUCGUUUUAAUCGAUGGGGGGACGCAGUAGGAUAGGCGAAGCGUGCGAUUGGAUUGCACGUCUAAGCAGUAAGGCUGAGUAUUAGGCAAAUCCGGUACUCGUUAAGGCUGAGCUGUGAUGGGGAGAAGACAUUGAGUCUUCGAGUCGUUGAUUUCACACUGCCGAGAAAAGCCUCUAGAUAGAAAAUAGGUGCCCGUACCGCAAACCGACACAGGUAGUCAAGAUGAGAAUUCUAAGGUGAGCGAGCGAACUCUCGUUAAGGAACUCGGCAAAAUGACUCCGUAACUUCGGGAGAAGGGGUGCUCUUUAGGGUUAACGCCCAGAAGAGCCGCAGUGAAUAGGCCCAAGCGACUGUUUAUCAAAAACACAGGUCUCUGCUAAACCGUAAGGUGAUGUAUAGGGGCUGACGCCUGCCCGGUGCUGGAAGGUUAAGAGGAGUGGUUAGCUUCUGCGAAGCUACGAAUCGAAGCCCCAGUAAACGGCGGCCGUAACUAUAACGGUCCUAAGGUAGCGAAAUUCCUUGUCGGGUAAGUUCCGACCCGCACGAAAGGCGUAACGAUUUGGGCACUGUCUCAACGAGAGACUCGGUGAAAUCAUAGUACCUGUGAAGAUGCAGGUUACCCGCGACAGGACGGAAAGACCCCGUGGAGCUUUACUGUAGCCUGAUAUUGAAAUUCGGCACAGCUUGUACAGGAUAGGUAGGAGCCUUUGAAACGUGAGCGCUAGCUUACGUGGAGGCGCUGGUGGGAUACUACCCUAGCUGUGUUGGCUUUCUAACCCGCACCACUUAUCGUGGUGGGAGACAGUGUCAGGCGGGCAGUUUGACUGGGGCGGUCGCCUCCUAAAAGGUAACGGAGGCGCUCAAAGGUUCCCUCAGAAUGGUUGGAAAUCAUUCAUAGAGUGUAAAGGCAUAAGGGAGCUUGACUGCGAGACCUACAAGUCGAGCAGGGUCGAAAGACGGACUUAGUGAUCCGGUGGUUCCGCAUGGAAGGGCCAUCGCUCAACGGAUAAAAGCUACCCCGGGGAUAACAGGCUUAUCUCCCCCAAGAGUUCACAUCGACGGGGAGGUUUGGCACCUCGAUGUCGGCUCAUCGCAUCCUGGGGCUGUAGUCGGUCCCAAGGGUUGGGCUGUUCGCCCAUUAAAGCGGUACGCGAGCUGGGUUCAGAACGUCGUGAGACAGUUCGGUCCCUAUCCGUCGUGGGCGUAGGAAAUUUGAGAGGAGCUGUCCUUAGUACGAGAGGACCGGGAUGGACAUACCUCUGGUGUACCAGUUGUCGUGCCAACGGCAUAGCUGGGUAGCUAUGUGUGGACGGGAUAAGUGCUGAAAGCAUCUAAGCAUGAAGCCCCCCUCAAGAUGAGAUUUCCCAACUUCGGUUAUAAGAUCCCUCAAAGAUGAUGAGGUUAAUAGGUUCGAGGUGGAAGCAUGGUGACAUGUGGAGCUGACGAAUACUAAUCGAUCGAAGACUUAAUCAA
rnacentral:rRNA from 1 species